AUGUAGGGCAAUCUGUCUUUAAGUAGGGAUAAAUUACUCUUAAAGAAAAAAAGGAAUCCUAGAUAGUUUUCCCUUCAAGUCAAACAUCUUGU
rnacentral:pre_miRNA from 1 species